UGGAGCGCGUCGGCGACUUCUGCUGGUACCUCCAUAGCAUCUGGCUGCUACCGGUGCAGGUCUUCCUGGCGCUACUGGUCCUCCGCGCCAACCUCGGCGGCGCCGCGGCCGCCGCCUCCCUUCUCGCCACCGUGCUGGUGAUGGUCUCCAACGUGCCCCUGGCCAACGCGCAGGAGAGGAUGCACUGCUCGAUCAUGGAGGCCAAGGACGCCCGCAUGGCCGCCACCGGCGAGACCCUCAAGGCCAUGAGAAUCCUGAAGUUGCAGGCGUGGGAGGGGGCGUACCUGAAGAAGAUCCUGACGCUGAGGGAGGUGGAGCGGCGGCGGCUGAGGAGGUACCUUUACACCUGCUCCGCCGUGGCCUUCCUCUUCUGGGCCUCGCCGGCGCUGGUCUCCGUCGUCGCCUUCGUCGUCGCCGCCGCCGCCGGCCAGGAG
rnacentral:lncRNA from 1 species